GGGUCAGUAGGUUGGUCGUGCCACCGGUACGUACUGGUCUCACUGAUUCCUCCUUCCCGAAGAACCGUAAUGCCAUUAAUUUGGUGUUGCGGGGAAACAGGACUGUUACUUUGAAAAAAUUAGAGUGUUUAAAGCAAGCUAACGCUUGAAUACAUUCGCAUGGAAUAAUGAAAUAGGACGAUCGAUCCUAUUUUGUUGGUUUCUAGGAUUGACGUA
rnacentral:rRNA from 1 species